UACAAUGGAGAGUUUGAUCCUGGCUCAGGAUGAACGCUAGCGGCAGGCCUAACACAUGCAAGUCGAGGGGUAGAAUGUCUUCGGAUGUUUGAGACCGGCGCACGGGUGCGUAACGCGUAUGCAACCUACCUCUUACUGGGGAAUAGCCCGAAGAAAUUCGGAUUAAUGCCCCAUAUGCUCGUACGGCCUCAUGGUCGAGCGAGGAAAGCUCCGGCGGUAAGAGAUGGGCAUGCGUCCUAUUAGCUUGUUGGUGAGGUAAUGGCUCACCAAGGCUACGAUAGGUAGGGGGCCUGAGAGGGUGACCCCCCACACUGGUACUGAGACACGGACCAGACUCCUACGGGAGGCAGCAGUGAGGAAUAUUGGGCAAUGGAGGAAACUCUGACCCAGCCAUGCCGCGUGCAGGAAGACGGCCCUAUGGGUUGUAAACUGCUUUUAUACGAGAAUAAACCCUCCCACGUGUGGGAGGCUGAAGGUAUCGUACGAAUAAGGAUCGGCUAACUCCGUGCCAGCAGCCGCGGUAAUACGGAGGAUCCAAGCGUUAUCCGGAUUUAUUGGGUUUAAAGGGUCCGUAGGCGGGUCUUUAAGUCAGUGGUGAAAGCCUGCAGCUUAACUGUAGAAUUGCCAUUGAUACUGGAGACCUUGAGUGUAGUAGAAGUAGGCGGAAUAAGGCAUGUAGCGGUGAAAUGCAUAGAUAUGCCUUAGAACACCGAUUGCGAAGGCAGCUUACUAUGUUACAACUGACGCUGAGGGACGAAAGCGUGGGGAGCGAACAGGAUUAGAUACCCUGGUAGUCCACGCCGUAAACGAUGAUUACUCG
rnacentral:rRNA from 1 species